AUGCUGCUACUUUCUGUAUGGAGCUGGGAGCGUCUGCCUAUUGGACGACCGAAGAGCGUUAGGUUUAAUCCUUGGUAUGAAGAUGAACAUGACGAAUUACGACGCCCCACUUGGGCUUACAAGUGGGAUGUGGUUUCCGAGAUGACGAACGAUGUCAAUCUCAUGUACCAGAAGUACGUUGCCGAGUUGGACACGAUUACGCCUGAGCAGGUAACGAGGUCAUUACUUCAGUCAUUUCUCAUGUUUGCCAGAAAAAAGUCACCAAUUUUGCAAUUUUGCCUUAUUUCAUAG
rnacentral:rRNA from 1 species